rnacentral:rRNA from 1 species
CCUACGGGGUGCUGCAGUGGGGAAUAUUGGACAAUGGGCGAAAGCCUGAUCCAGCCAUGCCGCGUGUGUGAAGAAGGCCUUCGGGUUGUAAAGCACUUUCAGUGGGGAAGAAAGCCUUGGGGCUAAUACCCUCGAGGAAGGACAUCACCCACAGAAGAAGCACCGGCUAACUCCGUGCCAGCAGCCGCGGUAAUACGGAGGGUGCGAGCGUUAAUCGGAAUUACUGGGCGUAAAGCGCGCGUAGGCGGUCUGAUAAGCCGGUUGUGAAAGCCCCGGGCUCAACCUGGGAACGGCAUCCGGAACUGGCAGGCUAGAGUGCAGGAGAGGAAGGUAGAAUUCCCGGUGUAGCGGUGAAAUGCGUAGAGAUCGGGAGGAAUACCAGUGGCGAAGGCGGCCUUCUGGACUGACACUGACGCUGAGGUGCGAAAGCGUGGGUAGCAAACAGGAUUAGAUACCCGGGUAGUC